GUGUUUUCUGCAACACACUAUCAGUGCUCUGGGGCACUGCUGUCUGCACUCACACUACUACUGUCUGUAGCAGGUCCCUUUGGUAUCACAAUGGGCAUCAGAGUCAGGACCAGUGUUGUGGGGAGAGUGCCCCUUCCUGAGCUGCUCACCAUGCUCACUGAGAUAUUUUUGGUGGUCCUCCUAGCUGGAAGCACAGCCAGCUCUACUUAGCUUGUGAAAUCUGAAAGACACGAAGGAGAGCACAGCUGAGAUUUUCAGGGCUGCCUAAGGGAUCUGGAUUCCCCGGUCACAUGAACAUUCAUGAGAAUGGGAUACCCCUUUGUGGCUUGAAAAUCUCAGCCUGGAAAUACUGUUUUGGUUGCUGCCUUUUAAAACCAAGACCAGAGAAGAGCAGUUCAUUGCUGCAAGAUCUGAUAAGAGGUAAUUUUCUCAUUGAAGCAGAACAAACCAGCAAACCUACAGCCACAGUAGCCACUAUGGGAUAUGCAAAGGAGUCUAAGGGGGGUCGGAUACCCAAAUUAAAUGCAUGUUGAAUGCCUGAUUUCCUCAGGCUUCUCUGAAAAAUCUCAGACUCUGUGUCGAAUCACUUCGGUGGCUUUGCCUACCUCAGCCGGAUAUAAAAAUGAUUUUUGAGUAUUCCAUAUAGAAAUCUGGGGGGAAGUCAAUGCACGUAGCUAGAGAGCUACAAUAGGGCCUGACACCUUAAAAUUAAGUUGCUUUUUAAGUGUGUGAUGAUUCCUUUGGAGCCCCAAUAUUAAAGUCACCAUGACUGACUCUUUUGCUUAAGCAUUUAUCUUAAGCAAACCAGCCUGCUGUAGGAUGUGGCUACUAUGGCACAACUGUCUGAAUACCCCUACUGAAUUCUAGUCAACAGGCUACAAUGUAAAAAGAAAUGUGACUGAACAAAAAAGGCAAAAGGUAUAAUAAAUCCUGUAGGAUUUUCAUAGGGGCUGAGAUUUUUCAAAGGAUGCACAGGGGUUUAAUACAGUGCCUAAUUUCUCUACGUCCCUUUGGAAAGUCCAAACAGGUAGCACAGUGUUCUUUUACAGUACAUAUGCAACUUCCUUUCCAAAGGCACACAAUCACCAAUAUCAAACUUAAAUACAGAUCAAAUAAUAUAUACAGCACUACCAUGGAACCAAAGCUUCAACCUGUGGUCUGUGUUCAGCAUCCAGAGAGUCAAAAGCAAGAUUUUUCAAAGUAGCUUAAGGGAAUUAGGUCGCUAUCUCAAAGGCAUGGAUUAUGGUGCCCCAUUUCCCAGUUAAGUAGAAAUACAAGCAGUGCAUACUGUAUCUUUGCACAGGGUUGAUUUUCACCCUAGAUCAGAGAUAUUCAUAGACCAUUAAGGAGACUAGGAUGACCUGUUUAAUUAUUAAUUGAAACUGAGUCUUCAAAUAACUUUUGGAGACUUUGAAAGUCAAAGUCUAGAUUUAGAAGGGGACAGGAAUAGCCUAUAAACUCUUGUUCCCUGUUCAAAUCUCACCUGCAGUGGCCAAAGCAUGGCAAAAGAUGCUUUGUAACAAAUGGGAAAAAUCCCACUGGGUCUCAGCUGUAGUUGGGCAAAAUUUGGUAAUGGGGAAGAAAUUGUUAGAAAGUUCAGAACUUUAAACAAAGAGUAUCUUAAAAUGUUGAGAUUUAAAAAAUGGGGGGAAAAAUAACAUUUUUCACUGUUUUUUGUUUUCUUUUUAAACAGCUUUAGUUACAUUCUGAUUUUCUCCCUGUCACAAAGUUAGCAGUGCUGUAGCAGGCUGUAACAAGCUGCUAGAGCUAAAGGCUAGUCUGACUCUUUUUCCAUCACAAAGUUAGCAGCACUGUAACAGGUUGCUGAAGCUACAGCCCAGCUGCAGGCAGCAAUGCUAAGUCCAGGCUGCUCAGGACAACUGGGCCAGCUGAGAGAGAUAUUUAGCAGCUACAGGAAGUUAAAAGGCUUCUGGGCAGGGGGAGUGGCUAAGCUAAUGACUACAAUGCUGGAUCAGGGAUUCUCAGGGUUUGGAAACAGCACCAUGGGGAAAGAGGAGUAGCAAGGUAGAGGCACCUUCUCAGGGGCUGAAAAGGUCUGAGACCUGUAAGUUAGCCCUUCACGGGCAGUGUUUGUGGACUGAGUGAUGUAGGAGUCUGCUUGUGGGGCAGAUGUGCCUUGGGAAUAAAGGACUGCAUUUUGAUUAAAGGCUUUCUGAGCUAAGCAAUAAUCCCAAACCCACUACAAGCACCAAAUAGGCAUGACUCGUAACCUCCCCCUGGAAGACCAAGCAGCAUAGCAAAGGAUGGAAUUUGCCAUAGAGACUGAACUUCUCUUCCCCUCUAUUUCAUUCUUCCUUUUCCAGACUGAGCUGUGGUAAGGCAGGGUAAGGGAACUUGCAUAGUUCCUAUCUUUGCUGUGCAUAUCUUGUGGUUAAGGGAGGAAUUCAUUCUCUAGAGCAGAGGUUCUCCAACUGUGGUCUGCGAGCUCCAUUCAGGUGGUCCACAGAAAGGUGACCUAAGGCUAAAGCUGACAAACAUUACACCUGACUUCCCAGAACUUUACUGAAAAAAACAGCAGGCCUAUCCACUGCAUUAGAAAGAUGCUGGUCUGAAGAUAAGCAGAACCCUGACAACAUUGAACUGUCUGUAAGCAGUAAAUUGUGUGAGGCCUGAAGGACAAAACUGAACCAAUAAGGACCACAGGGCACAAAGAUAUCCCAUGUUCCUGGCUACUUUGGGCCAGCACCUGAGUUCCUCUAGUUCCUAUUUAUGUUCCUUCUUGCAUAUUGCUACCUCAAAGUCAUUCCUUCCUGAACUCAACAGUUCCAGGCAGGGCUAAUACAACCUGCCUCCCAGACAUAGGGUACAUUGCCACACCACUGCUCAUGGCAAUGCUCAGUGCUCAUGGCAAUGCACUGUUCUGCCGUGCCUUGCUUUGCAUUGCUCCGUACUCCUAUUAGCUUGCUUUGUACUGCCUGGCAUUUGACAUGUUCUGCAUUAGAUUGCUUUGCAUUAUAUUAAGUUCCCUGCGAUACGCUGCAUUGAACAUCUUUGCAGGAGAUGACACUAUCCUCCAGUGCUGUUCUGCAGCCCUCCUGUUCAUGCUCCUCUUAGAUUGAAUGAAUCAGUCUAUGCAAAAUGCAACAUCUUCAUGGGACAGCCUGAGUGUAAACCCUGCAACCAGGAUAUAAAAAGCUUGGUGGUUGGAGCACGCUUUGAGUCAGUGUGCGUUCACAUUCUAGAUGAGUGCCCCAACCCCUAGAUAAAGUAGCAUUUUUGUGUGUCUAGCAGCUGCGUGAAUCUGGUGGGUUUCCCCCACACCCAGCAAAAUCUAGUUGGCAAGGGAAACCUGUAUUUGUAAAUUACUGCAGAACAACUGAAGCCACAUUUUCAACUGGUAGUUUCACCCAGCAUUAAUGUCUAAAGCACAGUGCUAUAUUUCUCAUCUCUGCUUUACAUUGCUUAUAACAUUGCACAAACCUGUAUUUCUGCCUUGAUUUCCCUUGUGUUUUGCAUUGCAUUCCUGCUUUAUUUUAUGUUUUUUUUACUCUGCAUUCCAUUUUUCUCACUGCACUGCUUUGUCUUGCACAAUUUAGAUGGCUUUUUUUCAUUGCAUUCCUUCUCUCUAAAAAUCUACAUGUCUAUCCCAAUGUAAAGCAGGUAAGAAAUACAUUCACGUUUCUCAUUGCAAUUUCAAAUACACUAGCUCUUCCAAGUAUAUUUUCCUUUCUCACUUGAAUUUCCUUUAGACAUUUAAUUAUUAAGAAUGGAAAAGAGUAAUAAAGUAUUUAAAAUAAGAAGCACAAAGGGAAAGAGCUACUGUAGAUUGCAAAUGGGGGAUUUUAUUUUUUUAUUUUUUUAAGGAGGGGCAGUUUUGUGGUCCUACAGUGAAGUGGAGGAUGGGCUGAAGAAAGCAUGAUAAAUGACUAUAUGCACACUGCUAAAAACAGUGUGGCCUUGACUUAAUUUUCUUCUAUUACCUAUAUUCGCUUCCCCCCAUAAACAGUAUAGCUUUGACUUUUUUAUUUUCUUUUGCCUACAAAUACCAUAUAUUUAUAUCUAUAGAAAUAUAGAUAUAGAUAUUGGGCUUUUGGAGGUAAUGGAAGAGAAUGAUGAAGCCAAAGCUACACCAUGUCUUGAUGAACUUUGAAAAUUUAAAAUGGUGUUUAAGGGCUUUAACAAUACCUGGCAGUGCAAAAUAAGGAAAUUGAAAAGAAGUAAGGAUAAAAAAUAUGGACAUUUAAGAGGAUAUUUUUCUUGCUUACAUAAAAACAAACCAGGGACAAACUGCAUGUCUUUAUCUUUUUGGUUCUUAACCCUUUCUGAACUAUAAUACUAUGGUACAAUGGGAAAAACUUUUGUCAUACCUUUCCCACUAGCAAUAGGUUAUUAAAGCCUCUUUGUGCACCCCGUGUUGUAAAUCCAAACUCUAUCUACAGAUAUGUUGUUCUGAUUAUAUAUAUAAAAAAAAUAAGCAUCUGGUAUUUUU